GUCUAUGGCCAUGUCACCCUGAACAAGCCCGAUCCCGUCUGAUCUCGGAAGCUAGGCAGGGUCAAGCCUGGUUAGUACUUGGAUGGAAGACUGCCUAGGAAGAUCAGGUACUGUAGGUG
rnacentral:rRNA from 1 species